rnacentral:rRNA from 1 species
AACGAACGCUGGCGGCAGGCUUAACACAUGCAAGUCGAACGCCCCGCAAGGGGAGUGGCAGACGGGUGAGUAACGCGUGGGAACAUACCCUUUCCUGCGGCAUAGCUCUGGGAAACUGGAAUUAAUACCGCAUAAGCCCUACGGGGGAAAGAUUUAUCGGGGAAGGAUUGGCCCGCGUUGGAGUAGCUAGUUGGUGGGGUAAAGGCCUACCAAGGCGACGAUCCAUAGCUGGUCUGAGAGGAUGAUCAGCCACAUUGGGACUGAGACACGGCCCAAACUCCUACGGGAGGCAGCAGUGGGGAAUAUUGGACAAUGGGCGCAAGCCUGAUCCAGCCAUGCCGCGUGAGUGAUGAAGGCCUUAGGGUUGUAAAGCUCUUUCACCGAUGAAGAUAAUGACGGUAGUCGGAGAAGAAGCCCCGGCUAACUACGUGCCAGCCGCCGCGGUAAUAC